UCCUCCCUCUGUCGGCGUGCUUAACACAUGCAAGUCGAACGAAGAGCGAUGGAAGCUUGCUUCUAUCAAUCUUAGUGGCGAACGGGUGAGUAACGCGUAAUCAACCUGCCCUUCAGAGGGGGACAACAGUUGGAAACGACUGCUAAUACCGCAUACGAUCUAAUCUCGGCAUCGAGGAUAGAUGAAAGGUGGCCUCUACAUGUAAGCUAUCACUGAAGGAGGGGAUUGCGUCUGAUUAGCUAGUUGGAGGGGUAACGGCCCACCAAGGCGAUGAUCAGUAGCCGGUCUGAGAGGAUGAACGGCCACAUUGGGACUGAGACACGGCCCAGACUCCUACGGGAGGCAGCAGUGGGGAAUCUUCCGCAAUGGACGAAAGUCUGACGGAGCAACGCCGCGUGAGUGAUGACGGCCUUCGGGUUGUAAAGCUCUGUUAAUCGGGACGAAAGGCCUUCUUGCGAACAGUUAGAAGGAUUGACGGUACCGGAAUAGAAAGCCACGGCUAACUACGUG
rnacentral:rRNA from 1 species